rnacentral:rRNA from 1 species
GACGAAUGCUGGCGGCGUGCUUAACACAUGCAAGUCGAACGGAAAGGCCCUGCUUGCAGGGUACUCGAGUGGCGAACGGGUGAGUAACACGUGGGUGAUCUGCCCUGCACUUCGGGAUAAGCCUGGGAAACUGGGUCUAAUACCGGAUAGGAGCCAUUUUUAGUGUGAUGGUUGGAAAGUUUUUUCGGUGUAGGAUGAGCUCGCGGCCUAUCAGCUUGUUGGUGGGGUAAUGGCCUACCAAGGCGGCGACGGGUAGCCGGCCUGAGAGGGUGGACGGCCACAUUGGGACUGAGAUACGGCCCAGACUCCUACGGGAGGCAGCAGUGGGUAAUAUUGCACAAUGGGCGCAAGCCUGAUGCAGCGACGCCGCGUGGGGGAUGACGGCCUUCGGGUUGUAAACUCCUUUCGCUAGGGACGAAGCUUUUGUGACGGUACCUGGAUAAGAAGCACCGGCUAACUACGUG